CAGCUUCUCACAGGCAGAGUUCAGGGAGUAGGGCCAUAAGCGACAGUUUAACAGUAUACAGGCAUUGAACCUGUUUAUUGAAGUAUACCCGUAAUUCACUGAGUUACACUGAAGGCAACUCUGAAGGGGCAUCCACAAGUCUUUAUUCUGAUGAGAAUAGCUGGUUGUAUUAGAGUCUGGCCAGGAGUUUUGGGUUAUGUUUUUAGCCAGCUCACUGGUGCAUGGAAAGAGUAUAUAAAGCCAACAUCUCUAAGAUCUUCAAGCUUAUUGCUACAGUUUAUGAAGUCAUAGAAGUGGGAGCUAUGAGGUCAAAAUGGCCAGAAUGCAACUGCACUAUUACACUAAAUAAAACCAAGCCAAUAGUCUUGUGGAUCCCUGAAUAUUUCUCAUUCCACACUUCAUCUUAGCCAAAAGGCCGAGAAGCGAUAUAUUUCUCAUUCCAAAGGCCAGAAACACUGAAAAGGAACCCUUAUGCUGAGAGUUUUGUCUUUCACCAUCUCAACGUUGAAGACUGAACUGAGAGUCUUGUCCUUAGUGAAUCCUUUGCUCACAGGCUGUUUCCCCAAGGCAUCUGUCUUCUGCUCCAUACACUUGAUAAAAUCACUUUGUUUGGAGUGCCCCACUGGCUGCUUUCGGAACUCACUGCGCUUCUCCAGGCGGGACUCAAAGGCCGCUGGGUCAGACCUGCGCAGCUGCUGGAUCUUGUCCCGGUAGCGGUCGUAGAAGGGGUUCGCUUCCAGCUCGC
rnacentral:lncRNA from 1 species